rnacentral:lncRNA from 1 species
CCAGCUAAGCAGUAGGUUCUUAGGAAAACUGUGUGUCUUGGAGAAUGAAUUUCCAUCAGAGGUAAGUGAUUGGCAUGCUUUUUUCUGUUUUUGAUUAAAAAUAAUUUUAAUAUAAUAUUUUACUAGAUUGUCUGACCAGAAAAGAAAUUACUAAAAAUCAUAGCUAUAGAGGCACUUUAACAAAAUAAAUAUUUAAUACCUGGGACCUAUUUGGUACUUUUCUCUUUGCCCCUUCUUAUUACAAGUACCUGAAUUCUCAUGCUUGAUUGCCAGAUGGGAUCUUGAAGUGUCUGGCCAAGUCCUGUGGGGGUCAGAGCCCUCUGUUGCGGCUGAGCCUUGGACCAGCAGUGAUCAGAAACCUUUCCUGGGGGGAGGCUUUUGUUUGCUUGCAGGAAUGUUUCUGGGCCACCACCCCAGGUAGCCCAUUCACCGUCCUGGCAGGGAGAGCUCAUAAAAGAGGCAGCCUAUUUCACUUUUUUCUUUCCUCCUUAUCAACUGGGACAGUUUGUUUUUCCCUCUGACUCAUAGAUCCGGAAUUUCAGGACUAGAAAGGGGCUCCCCUGCUGUUUUCUUCAAGUGACAAAAAGACAAAGAUAGAGUUUAGCUACCUAUAGUGCAUUUUACUUCAGCAUGAAGAAUACUUAUAAUUGUCUUUUCCAAUCAGACAUUUUCCUAGCCAGUUUGUUUACCUUAUUUUGAUUUUGAGGAGGCCCAUUUCCUACCUUGUUUUCGUUUGUCUUAUUUUUUACUGGUCUUAGCUGGGUCUUUUGUGAGCUGCUAAUUUGCUCUCUGGUCUCUUAGCAACCAGGAACUUUUCCAGCUUGCUGCUGAAUCAGACCUUGGAGUUGCAAAGUUUAUAACAGAACCUGCUGAAGGACAGUAUCUCUCCUAGAGCCAGCAAUUUUAAACCAAUGUUUGAACAAGAAAAUUAACCAGGGUUUCAGGACAUGUACAUUCACAAAGGCAACAACUACAAAACAAAUGUCUGGCUCUCCAGAAUGGUUCCAUUCUCUUCCGCUCCCAGCCCCAGAUGGCCAAGUGCUCUCUGGCUUACUUUGUCUUCCCUCCUGCAGCACAAGGCAUUUCCCAUUCCCUGUUCUUGGGCUGAUGUGAAGCAAAUGGAGCCUGCUCAGAUAGGAAACAACUGUGCCCUGCCUGGAGGAGAACCAGAAAGGGGUUCUGGGUCUGCUGCUUGUUAGCAGGGGGUCAGGGCCAGCUGGUCACAUGGUCUUUGACAGUUUCAUUCCACACGUAUUUAUUUCACGCCCACUAGGUGCUAGGCCUCAGCACAGGGAAAUGCAUAGAAUACAGCUGUGUCCCUUUAGAGCCUGUAGUCUAGUGAAGACAAACAUAAAUAAUCUGGUUGCUAUCCGUGUGACAAGCCUGCACUCACGAUAUAAACAAAGGACCGUGGCAGGAGAGAGGAGAACUUUGCCUGGGCAGAGGAGUGAAAGCCUAUGUGAACUGACCACACUGGAGGCAGGUGAGGGGAUGUGCAGUGUGAGGAGGCAGAGGCUACCUCUCUCCACCUUCAGCACAUGUGCUGCAAGUCACACACUCCUGGCAUUGGUCACCUGGGGGAAGGGAGCCCAAGAAUAUUAGCCAACAUGAGAGUUUACUAGUUCUUCAGGUUGUCUAUGACGAUGUAAAAAACUGCUCCAAAGCUUUGUGGCAUGAAACAACCACUAUUUUAUUGUGAUCCCAAAUUCUGUGGGUCAGAAGUUAGAAAAAAGCACAGAGGUGGAUCUUUCAGGGGAGGACUGGAAUGGGGGUGCUUUCAACCACUGGGGGCUGGAGGAUCCACUUCCAAUAGUUUUUUCACUCAUAUGUCUGGCAGCUGGGCUGGGCUGGCUUACGGGUGGGCUCAGCUGAGAGAGCAUGGAGUUCUCAGGAUUGUUAGACUUUUUUUUUUUUUUUUGAGACAGAGCAAGGCUGGAGUGCAGUGUUUUAAUCUUGGUUCACUGCAACCUCCGCCUCCGGGAUUCAAGAGAUCCUUCCACCUCAGCUCCGGAGUAAGUAGGAUUACAGGUGUGCACCACCAUAUCCUGCUAAUUUUUUUGUAUCUUUAGUAGAGACAGGGUUUCACCAUGCUGGCCAGGCUGGUCUUGAACUCCGGACCUCCGAGGUGAUCCACCCACCUCGGCCUCCCAAAGUGCUGGGAUUACAGGCGUGAGCCACAGCACCCAACCCAUUGGACUUCUUACAUGAAGGCUCUGAGAGAAAAUAAAUGUCCUUUGAGAGCUAGGCUGAAGCUGUAUGGCCUUCUAUGCACCCUGCCUUGGAAGUUACAUAGCAUUCAUUCCAAAUGUACUAUUGGUGGGAGGUGCCAAGGACCCAUUCAAAUAAAAAGUAGGGGACAAGGUCUGCUGUGGUGGCUCACAGCUGUAAUCUAAGCACUUUGGUAGGCUGAGGUGGGCGGAUCACCUGAGGUUGCCAGUUUGAGACCAGCCUGACCAACAUGGAGAAACCUCAUCUCUACUAAAAAUACAAAGUUAACUGGGUGUGAUGGCACAUGCCUGUAAUCCCAGCUACUUGGGAGGCUGAGGCAGGAGAAUCGCUUGAACCUGGGAAGUGGAGGUUGCGGUGAGCUGAGGUUGUGCCAUUGCACUCCAGCCUGGGCAACAAGAGCGAGACUCCGUCUCAAAAAAAAAAAAAAAAAAAAAGAAAAAGAAAGUAGGGGACAUAGAUCUACCUCUUGAUGGAAGGAGGAUAAAAAUAUUUGCAGUCAUGCUUAAAACACCACACAGGAAAAAAAGAGUAGUCUCAGGCCAGGACUUGUACAUUUUAGACUGACUCUGCCUCUCACUGGCUGUGUGACCCCAGGAUUAGGUGCUUCUCCUCUCUGGGCUCUGGUCUCUUCAUCUAUAAAAGGAGGGCUUCACCAGGUUAAUCUACAUUCCCUUCUAAUGAGGCGCAGCAGCAUAGCACAUGCUCCGUAAUGACCUAUUGAUGAGGAGAGAGCUGAAUUUUAACUGUAGGAAGGAUCUCCAAUGGAAUCAUGUGGAUCAUUAAGUAAAAUAGGAGUUUUUGAAUUUUCACACUGAAAGAAACUUGAGGAAAUAUAGUCUGGCUCCCUUGUUUUAUAAAUGGGGAAAUUGAGAUCUAGAGAAGCUACAGGUCUUGCCCAAGUUCUGGAAGUAAGUUAAUGAGGGCUAUUAAAGAAUAGAAGCUGGAGGCCAGGGCGCGGUGGCUCAGGUCUGUAAUCCCACCACUUUGGGAGGCCGAGGUGGGUGGAUCAUGAGGUCAGGAGUUCAAGACCAGCCUGGCCAAGAUGGUGAAACUCCGUCUCUACUUAAGAAAAAAAAAAACCCACAAAAUUUAGCUGGUUGUGGUGGUGGGCACCUGUAAUCCCAGCUACUUGGGAGGCUGAGGCAGGGAAUUGCUUGAACCCUGGAGGUGGAGGUUGCAGUGAGCCGAGAUUGCACCACUGCACUCCAGCCUGGGCAACAGAGCGAGACUCCAUCUCAAGAAGAAUAGAACCUGGGUCUCUGAACCACACAUCCUGUGUGCCUGACCCUCCUGAUAUUCCAUUUGGAAUUUCAUUCAAACAUCCACUUCCAGGAAGGCAUCUCUUACAUAAAUUGAAGGAUAUCUGUAAAAAGCCAUCUGGAAAUUUUCCCUGUGUCCAACCUAAGAAGUUAAUUGGGCUUGAGGGUGUGUUGGCCAGAUCUGGCUGUUUCGCUGGACCUUGCUCAGGACUGGAGCAGGAUGACAAUGGAGCUGUGAGACUGAUAGGGAAGAGGUGUUUGCUUCUGCUUUGGGUCCUAUUUUUUUCAUGCCGACCAUGUUCAGAAAUGGCUCUUGUGCAUACAUAAUAUGGUGACUGAGUUAAAUAAUAAAUGAUAAGAGAGGCCAUGGGAGGUGGGAAAGCAAAGGCAAGGGAGAAGGAAUCUGAUUUCAGCUGAAAUUGGAAAGGACAGUGAGCUGCUGAGAGAAGGAGACGAGAUAGAAAGGCAGAAGAGCCCAGAAGUAACGAGAACAAGAAAAGAGUUGGUGAAAGGAGCUGCGUGACUUAUUUAAGGUCCCAGGAAGGCUGAGAGCUAGAGGGGCUGAAGGGAAGGGCAAACUGAGUGUGGAAAUAUAGGCAUGUCAUUGGGUACUGGAACAAGUGGGAGGUCCUGAAGUCCCAUUUAGUGCUAGGGAAUAAAGCAACAAAAUAGACAGUAGGCCAUGAAGCUUUGGUUCCUCAUGAUAAAUGGGCUUUUCCAGAGCUGGAUCAAUCACAGACAGGGCUGUAAACAGAAACAACUGGCUAGGGCUGAUUUUGUGAUAUUGUUUGGACAUGGGCUGGGAACAAAAUUUAUCUGUGCAAAGCUAUCCAUCAGGGUACUGGGAAGGAUGGAGGAAAGGAAACAUUGAGGAAGCCAGGUGGGUUUUUCUGGGUGGAGCCUUACUCCCCUAUCCAUCCACCCUAUUUCCAGCUCACGCAAAUUCCAUUAACUCCCUCUCUAACCCAUUGCCUCCUGUUCUUACCACAAUUCAUGCUAGACCUAUGCCCAUCUCGUUUCUUCUGAGCCAUUCCAUCCUAGUCCCAAUCCAUACACAAGCUUUCAUCACAUUUUUCAGCAUAGCCUGUCCCCCUCUCAACUCCUCAUUCUUAUCUUCAUUUCAUUGACAAUUCCCUUUAUUUGGUGCUUAUGAGUGAAACAGUCUAAACCUUUGCAGGAUUAGACCCUCAAGAUGCUAGGCCCUUUGGUGCUAGGAAUUCCACAUCCCUAAAGCUAGGCUUUCAAUCCUUUUUAUUUUCAUAAAUACACAAAAGUGAUGUUUUUACAGCCCACUAGGCUCAGCCCAAUCCAGGCCCCACCUAGCUACUGCAAGGGCUGAAGUAUCCAGAUAUACCUGGAAUCAAUUCUCAGCACACUGUUUGGGAGAUUGUGUAGUUUGCACACCCCCAAUCACAACAUAUUUCCCCUAUAGAGUUGUAUUUUGCCUAUUUGCCCUUUGGCGGACUCAACAAGUGACAUCAGUUUCAGUGACACGAAGGCUUCAUCCCUCCUCUGGUAUCUAAGGCAGCAGAAAAAUGGACUAGCAUGGCGGGGAUGCAGUUCACAGCAGGGCUUUCUCAUUUGCUUUAGUUAGGAAAAAGCAGUCAUGGUGUUCAAACGCAUUUAGGGGAGAACACUAUUAGUAACAGAGCUAGCAACAGUACUCAGGUCAGAAAGGGAGACAAAAGGGAGUAUCAAGUAGUCCCUGCUUUUGUGAGCUUUUAUUUUGCAGCAGGAAUGAGACCAGCCUGGGAGGACGUCACAGAAGACUGGAAAGAUGAGAACUGAGGCAACAGGGAGCCGCUUGUCUGAACUCUCAUCUGGACUGGUGGAAGUCCAGGGUGCUG